GGGGGCGGUCUCUAGUGUCUAGGUGGGCGGUCUCUACUGUAUUGGUGGGCGGCCUCUAGAGUGUCUAAGUGGGCGGUCUCUAGUGUCUAGGUGGGCGGUCUCUAGUUUGUCUCGGUGGGUGGUCUCUAGUGUCUAGGUGGGCGGUCUCUAGUGUCUAGGUGGGCGGUCUCUAGUGUCUAGGUGGGCGGUCUAUAGUGUGCCUAGGUGGGCGGUCUCUAGUGUGUCUAGGUGGGCGGUCUCUAGUGUGUCUAGGUGGGCGGUCUCUAGUGUGUCUAGGUGGGCGGUCUCUACUGUCUAGGCGGGCGGUCUCUAGUGUCU
ensembl:lncRNA